AUGUUUUACGUCACUAUUGCAUCACUGCAGAUGUCUCAAGAGGAUGGCGAGACAAAAAGAGAAGUAAAUACUUUGUCUUACCACGCAGGAGGAAGGCAUCUUUUCAGCAUGUGGAUUUUUCUAGGUUUCCUCUCCUACAUCUCCAAAGUGGGGUCUCUGAAUCCUCACACUGCUCCAGUGGGAGAAAACAUCACAUUUCAUUGUUCACAUUUCCUAGCUGAUGGAAACAUCAAAUAUUUCUGCAGAGACUCUUGUGUGGGUGAUAAUAUUCUCAUUCGAUCAGAGAUAGGAGAGAAUCCGACUGGCACAGGUAGAUACACUCUGUCUGAUGAAGGAUCAGACUUCACCGUGACCAUCACUGACCUGCGGUUAUCAGACUCUGGCACUUACAUCUGCGCAGUAGACAGAUUUUUUAAAGACACUUACAACUAUGUAACUCUACAUGUGAUUGAGGUUUCUACGUUAACACCUGUUCCAACAAGUGCAUCCAGACCUCCUAGAAGAAGAACAACUACAGAUAUAACCAAGAAUAAGAGAACAUCAGUGAUGAAGCGGUCAACUGUCAACACUUCGCCAAAAACCAUGAGCAGAUCAGCACUGUUUGAUCCUAUGGUUCUUGUUGGUGCUGCCCUUGGUGCUCUGGUGCUGAUUUGUACAGUCAUCUUCUUCAUACUUAUCAAACUAAAGCAGAAGAGACGCUCCUCCAGUUUGACAUCGUCUGCACAUCAACCUGAUUUUCUGAUUUAUACCACACCAAAUGUCACUGCACAAACAGACAGUCUGAACUAUUCCUCUGUGAAGUUUAUCAAAGAACCCAACUGCAGUGUGAAGACCAAUGAAAUGUUUGAAAUGAACCCGAAUGAAGGGGUAGAAACACUUUAUUCAUCUGUUCAAACUCAACACCAUUCAGGCAUCUUUGAUCCAAACUCAAUAAUCUAUUCCAUUGUUCAUAAAGGACAGUAGAUGAGGUCGAUUUGACAAGUGCACUUUUAAUGUAUAGUUCAAAUGUCUUUCUGUUGUUGUCAAUGCUUUACUGCAGAGGUUCUCAACUCUGGCACUCGAGGUCCAUGUUCCUGCAGAGUUUAGGUCCAACCUUGAUCAAACUCACCCGUCUGUAACUUUCUAGCAAUCCUGAAGCCUGUUGAUUAGCUUGUUCAUGUAUGUUUGAUUAGAGUUGGAGUUAAACUCUGCAGGAAAGUGGACCUUGAGAAACCUAUACAGAAUACAAGACAGAGGUGUUUGCUAGAAAGAUUUCAUGUCUACAUUAAUAUUUUUUAUACAGUGCAAGUCAGCUAAAUGUCCUUCAGAUUGUGAGUCAGUACAUAUGGCACUUCCCCACAGUCAGUUACAGGGUAUUUAAAGGUGAAGUAUGUAAUUUUUAGAUACUGAAGUAUACUUUCAUAUCCUGUUAUCAUGCAGAAGUAAGCCAAGUCUUACAUUUUUCAUAAAUGUCAAAAUGUGCACUUUUCCAAGUUGGAGAACUGUAAAUAGACAAAGGAGUAAACCCCUAAGAGUAAAUAUUAGUAACAAUUUAAUUCUUAUAUGAUUUAUGAAAGACCACACACUUGAGUAACUUUUACCUAUAUUGUGAAAAGUCAUGAUCAUAGUGUUAUAACAUAGUAGUGUCUGAAAUGGUUCAUAACAUUUUUUGAACUAAAAUAUAGGGUAUAAAUUACAAAAUGGACAAUAGAUGCUUUUCUUACAACUUCAUUGUAUAUAUAGUUCAUUAUUAAGCACAAGAAGCAAAACAAGUGUCUUUAGGACAGUUCAGUUUUAAGAGUGUUUAUAUCAUUCAGUAAGACUAUGGAAGCAUUAUAAUUAUGUAAUAUUUAGUACCUCUGAGGAGAACUUAAUGGCAAAUUGCUUGUCCUUGUUGCUUGAUCAUAUAUUAUCCCUAAAAGUCACAAUGAUUUAUUCUCAUUGCAUUGUAUAACAAAAUAUAAACAUUAAGCAUUUAUAUUCA
ensembl:lncRNA